CGAUCAGAAGAAGAGGGCAACCAGGGGUUUCCUUCAAACCCUAAAAUCCUCACAAAAUUCACAAAUUGAAGCCUCUAAUCUGCUCUAAAUCAAGCUUCAAACAUGAAUUAGUGAUCACCUCGUUGCAGGGAUCAAAAGGCAAGGAAUACGGAUCGUCAAGCGGACACGUCGGAGGGGAUACACGUUUGAAAGGUGUGCACUAAAGGUGAAGAUGGACCUAACCCAGAUGGUGAUCAAGCUAUUAUCAAGAACUGAACGCACUAAACAAAGCUUCCGCACUUGAUCUAUUUUGUUUUAGCGAUAUAUAGAUACUUGAACUAUGUUUUCAAACGUUAUCUAGUAGACACUUGA